GAAAAUUAAUGAGCACAAAUGUGGUGAUAAUACAAAUUCAUGAAUUCUGACAAAAAAGAUGUGCCCGAGAGAAGUACUCUCAUAAAGGAUAGGGCAUAAUAUGACAAAUAAAAUUUUGAUUGCUAGAUUUAUGCCAGAAUGUGGUAUUGAGUCUAAUGGCUGAUUUCCUCUACAGACAUUUAUAUGGCCUUUAGAGCACUCACUUAGCCAUGCUUGAUUGGCUUAUUGAUUGUACAAAAGCUCUGGGACAACAGGUCUCAGAGCUGUGGGGUUGUGAAAUCUAGUUCUGGUGAGAAUUCUCAUUUUCCUCUUUUAAAAGAGAGCGCAGGCGAUGUUUGAGUAUACAGAUUAAUUACAACCGUAUUAGGCAUUACAGAAAGUAUUUAAUCUUGACCUGUAAUGUCUUAGUUACUCCCGCCCCUUUCUCUGUUUGCAUGUUAUCUGUUGUGUGUAUGUGUGUGUAUGUGUGUGUGUGUGAGAGAGAGAGAGAGAGAGAGAGAGAGAGAGAGAGAAAUUUCAGGCAGUCACAGUGGAGUCAUUAGGGCUGAUAUUAGCCAGCUGUGUGUGCGCACGUCUAGGCUGAAGAGGCUCGUAAGGACAUUGUGGGAGUUGAGAAGAUGAUAUUUCUCUGAAGAUGAGAAGUAUGAUGGCUGUCUGGAUUUAAGUCCAUCUCUCAGAAAGGACUUUGAGAUGACAACACAAGAGUGUGAUGGCCCUACCAAUCGCCUGUGUGGAGUUUACUUGGGUUUCAUCUGGGUUCCCCAGUUUCCUCCCAUUGUCCAAAAGCAUAUGUGUGUGUUUGUGUGCACGGUGUCCUGUCAUGGACUGGUGUCCUGGUAUUCCCACCUCCUGCCCUUUGUUCCUGGGAUAGACUCCGGAUCUAUUGUGACCCUGACCAGGAUGUAACAGAUAAUUAAGAUGAAAGAAUAAAAUGGAUGAUUAAA